rnacentral:rRNA from 1 species
UAAUACAGAGGGUGCAAACGUUGCUCGGAAUUAUUGGGCGUAAAGCGCGUGUAGGCGGCUCGUUAUGUCGGCUGUGAAAGCCCAUGGCUCAACCAUGGAAGUGCAGCCGAAACUGGCGAGCUUGAGUCCUGGAGAGGGUGGCGGAAUGCCCAGUGUAGAGGUGAAAUUCGUAGAUAUUGGGUAGAACACCGGUGGCGAAGGCGGCCACCUGGACAGCGACUGACGCUAAGACGCGAAAGCGUGGGGAGCGAACAGGAUUAGAUACCCUGGUAGUCCACGCCGUAAACGAUGAGCACUAGGUGUUGCGGGUAUUGACCCCUGCAGUGCCGACGCUAACGCAUUAAGUGCUCCGCCUGGGGAGUACGGCCGCAAGGCUA